AUUGAACGCUGGCGGCAGGCCUAACACAUGCAAGUCGAGCGAGCGGCGGACGGGUGAGUAAUGUCUGGGAAACUGCCUGAUGGAGGGGGAUAACUACUGGAAACGGUAGCUAAUACCGCAUACCAUCAGAUGUGCCCAGAGGGGAUUAGCUAGUAGGUGGGGUAACGGCUCACCUAGGCGACGAUCCCUAGCUGGUCUGAGAGGAUGACCAGCCACACUGGAACUGAGACACGGUCCAGACGCCUACGGGGGGCAGCAGGGGGGAAUUUUGCACAAGGGGGGCAAGCCGGAUGCAGCCAUGCCGCGUGUGUGAAGAGGGCCUUCGGGUUGUAAAGCCCUUUCAGCGGGGAGGCGUUACCCGCAGAAGAAGCACCGGCUAACUCCGUGCCAGCAGCCGCGGUAAUC
rnacentral:rRNA from 1 species